rnacentral:tRNA from 1 species
CAGGGAGACAACAAAAUGUUUAAUAUUAUUUUGUCACCUUAGGUCGAUCGGUAUCUCACAUUCUUAAUUUAUUAAGGAUUUUAUUUCCUAAGUUUUUUCUAGGUCACACCCAUUACUUUUCCUGGGCCAUUAGCUCAGGUGGUUAGAGCGCACCCCUGAUAAGGGUGGGGUCCCUGGUUCAAGUCCAGGAUGGCCCAUAUCUCUAUGUUGGGGGUAUAGCUCAGUUGGUAGAGCGCCUGCUUUGCAAGCAGGAUGUCAGCGGUUCGAGUCCGCUUACCUCCACUGAUUACCACCUCUUCCAUAUUUACAGAAGGGAAAUGUUUUGAGUUGUGAUCAAAUUCUGAACGAAUCUAGCUUCCUAAUCAAACUCAUUAAGAUGCUGGACUCAUUGAAUUAAUUCAUUGUUUUCAGAGAACCUUGACAACUGCAUAGAUUAUUUUUAAAGACAAUAAGCAUCUUUUAAUGAUGCAGAUUUAUUAUUUGUGCGAAUGCAUUAAUAACAAUUCUAUUAAGCUGAUGCUUCAAUUUUUGAAGUUAUU